rnacentral:rRNA from 1 species
UACGUAGGGGGCAAGCGUUAUCCGGAUUUACUGGGUGUAAAGGGAGCGUAGACGGCAACACAAGUCUGAAGUGAAAUGCCGGGGCUUAACCCCGGAACUGCUUUGGAAACUGUGUAGCUAGAGUGCAGGAGAGGUAAGUGGAAUUCCUAGUGUAGCGGUGAAAUGCGUAGAUAUUAGGAGGAACACCAGUGGCGAAGGCGGCUUACUGGACUGUAACUGACGUUGAGGCUCGAAAGCGUGGGGAGCAA